ACUGAGUGAAAGAUGUAGUUGUACUACACACUUGUAUUACAUACACUCACUGAUGUAAUACACACACACACACACACAUUUUCUUAUACAUGUUCUGCGCUGAUCGCUGCUUUUUUUUCUGUCCUGCUCCCUGCCGUGCUGUAUAGUAAGGCCAGGGCCAAAGUGAUGUCAUUUUACAGCUCCUGGCAUCACUCCAGGGAGCAGAGCCAGAUUACAUUUCUCCUUGAGCUGGUCACCUCUGGGGCUGAACAGGCUGACAAACACCAAGGCACCAUUACAAAAUUCCUAAUUGCCAUGGUGACCUUGUGCCUUGGAUUUGUCUAGCCCUGUCCUAGAUCACCCACUCCUAAAUUGGGAUAUUACAUUUGAAACCAUCUGCAUUAAAACUGACCCACUCGAACAUGGAAUAGCAGCCAACCUUCAUCUCACUCUAUAUUUGGGCAAUAUUGAGUUAUAUAAGCUCCUUUCAUUUUCGUACAAGACACCACAGCUUUUACACACUAUUAAACCCUUCAUUGAUAACCUGUGUUGGAGAUGUUGGCAAGCAGAGGAUAC